rnacentral:rRNA from 1 species
CACGUAGGGUGCAAGCGUUGUCCGGAAUUAUUGGGCGUAAAGAGCUCGUAGGCGGUCUGUCGCGUCUGCUGUGAAAAUCCAGGGCUCAACCCUGGACCUGCAGUGGGUACGGGCAGACUAGAGUGCGGUAGGGGAGAUCGGAAUUCCUGGUGUAGCGGUGAAAUGCGCAGAUAUCAGGAGGAACACCGGUGGCGAAGGCGGAUCUCUGGGCCGUAACUGACGCUGAGGAGCGAAAGCAUGGGGAGCGAACAGG